rnacentral:rRNA from 1 species
GAUGAACGCUAGCUACAGGCUUAACACAUGCAAGUCGAGGGGCAGCAUGAAGUUUGCUUGCAAACUUUGAUGGCGACCGGCGCACGGGUGAGUAACGCGUAUCCAACCCUUCCCCCUAGGUAGGGGAUAGCCCGGCGAAAGUCGGAUUAAUACCCUAUGUUAUCCGUCGAUGACAUCAGAAGCGGAUCAAAGAUUUAUCGCUAGGGGAUGGGGAUGCGUCCGAUUAGGUAGUAGGCGGGGCAACGGCCCACCUAGCCUUCGAUCGGUAGGGGUUCUGAGAGGAAGGUCCCCCACAUUGGAACUGAGACACGGUCCAAACUCC